GCUGUGCAUGGUGGUGUAUACCUGUAGUCCCAGCUAUUUGGGAGGUUGAGGUAGGAGGAUCGCUUGAGCUCAGGAGUUAUGAGCUAUGGUGCAUUAUGCUGAUCAGGUGUCUGAACUAAGUUCAGCAUAAUAUGGUGACCUCCCAGGAGCAGGGUGGCAGAGGGGGGGCCCACCAGGUUGCCUAAGGAAGGGCAAACAGGCCCAGUUCAGAAAUGGAGCAGGUCAAAACUCCCAUGCCGAUCAGUAGUGAGAUGGUGCCUGUAAACAGCCACUGCACUCCAGCCUGGGCAACACAGUGAAACCUUAUCACUU
rfam:Pan troglodytes isolate Yerkes chimp pedigree #C0471 (Clint) chromosome 6, whole genome shotgun sequence.